rnacentral:rRNA from 1 species
GUAUGUGACCUGCGGAAGGAUCAUUA